GGAGAGGCGAUCGAACCUUAACAACAGAGUUUUAUUGAUAGUACCGCAAGGGAAAAAUGAAAUAAUAAUGAAAACAAAAGCAAAACAUAGCAAAGACUUCCCCUUGUACCUCUUGCAUCACGAUCUAGCAAGCAUAAAACAAGCAAGAAGAAAACACAGCCUGCUCUCCCGAACUCAAGUGAGCUAUUUUAAAGCAACUAAAGAGUUAACCCGUCCCUGUAGCAAAAGGGUGGGAAGACUUUAAAAUAGAGGUGAAAAGCCAACCGAACUUGCUGAUAGCUGGUUACCAGAUAAAUGAAUUUUAGUUCAACUUAAAACUUUAUUAACCCACCCUUAGUAAAGACUUAGUUUUUAAGAUACUCAAUGAGGGUACAGCCUCAUUGAGCCAGAGUACAGCCUGAACUAGAGAGAAACCCCCACAAAAACAACAGUAGGCCUUAAAACAGCCACCUAAUACAACAACGUCACAGUCUUCACAAUCAAAAUACCGACCACAUUUUAAAGCUCCUACACUACCACCUGGUAAUUCAAUAAAUUUAUAGAAGAUAUUAUGCUAGAACUAGUAACAAGAAGCCCUCUCUCACGCACAGCCAUAAAUCAGACAUAGAAAAGCUACUGAAAAUUAACAAAACAAUAAAAACAAUUUACAUAGUAUAUUACUAGCUGUUAACCCAACACAGGUGUGCAUAAAAGAAAGAUUAAAAGUUAAAAAAGGAACUCGGCAACAAACAAAUUUCAACUGUUUACCAAAAACAUAGCCUUUAGCAAACCAAGUAUUAAAGGUAACGCCUGCCCAGUGAAACUUAAACGGCCGCGGUAUUCUAACCGUGCAAAGGUAGCGUAAUCACUUGUCUCCUAAAUAGGGACCUGUAUGAACGGCUAAAUGAAUGUUUAACUGUCUCUUUUAACUAAUCAGUGAAACUGAUCUUCCAGUACAAAAGCUGGAAUAAUAAUAUAAGACGAGAAGACCCUGUGGAGCUUUAAAUUUCAACCAACAUAUAAUUACCAUAAUUAUUUAUGCUUAACAUUUUAAGUUGGGGCGACUUCGGAUAAAAACUAAACAUCCGAGUAAAUAAGGCACUGCCUAAAAAAGGCCUACAAGCCAAAACUAAUAUUGACCCAGUACUGCUGAUCAACGAACCAAGUUACCCCAGGGAUAACAGCGCCAUCUUCUUUAAGAGUUCAUAUCGACAAGAAGGUUUACGACCUCGAUGUUGGAUCAGGACACCCAAAUGGUGCAGGUUCGUUUGUUCGUUUGUUAUUAAAGGUUCGUUUGUUCAACGAUUAACAGUCCUACGUGAUCUGAGUUCAGACCGGAGCAAUCCAGGUCGGUUUCUAUCUAUACAGUUGUUUUCUUUAGUACGAAAGGACCAAGAAAACAGGACCAAUAUAACCCAACGUCCUUUACAAUAAAUUAAAAAAAACUAAAAUUUCAACAAACAACAAAUUUUCCCCCAGACAAGGGGUUAGUUAGAGUGGCAGAGCCAGGUAAUGUAAAAGACCUAAGACCUUUCAAACAGAAGUUCAAAUCUUCUCUUU
rnacentral:rRNA from 1 species